AUGAUUCCUGAGCACCUCAGGAGAGAUAUCCUGGAAGGUAAAGAUGUCAAUCUGGCCUCACUACUAAUUGCCUCCCAGGAUAUAGUGGAACACAAGACCUACGCUUAUGACGAUAUUUCUGUGGUGGUCAAAUCUAGGGAUGCACGAUUAAAUAGGAAGCUAACCAUUCCUGAAUUUGUAUUAGCUUUUGGCAUUUAUCGGGAUGUGAUCUGUACGGUAUAUCCCCACAGACGUGAGGAGUUUGACUUAUAUAUGCACAGGCUGGUUGAUCUGGGCAACAAAUAUG